rnacentral:rRNA from 1 species
UGCAAGUCGAGCGGAUGACGGGAGCUUGCUCCCUGAUUUAGCGGCGGACGGGUGAGUAAUGCCUAGGAAUCUGCCUGGUAGUGGGGGAUAACGUUCCGAAAGGAACGCUAAUACCGCGUACGUCCUACGGGAGAAAGCAGGGGACCUUCGGGCCUUGCGCUAUCAGAUGAGCCUAGGUCGGAUUAGCUAGUUGGUGAGGUAAUGGCUCACCAAGGCGACGAUCCGUAACUGGUCUGAGAGGAUGAUCAGUCACACUGGAACUGAGACACGGUCCAGACUCCUACGGGAGGCAGCAGUGGGGAAUAUUGGACAAUGGGCGAAAGCCUGAUCCAGCCAUGCCGCGUGUGUGAAGAAGGUCUUCGGAUUGUAAAGCACUUUAAGUUGGGAGGAAGGGCAGUAAGUUAAUACCUUGCUGUUUUGACGUUACCGACAGAAUAAGCACCGGCUAACUUCGUGCCAGCAGCCGCGGUAAUACGAAGGGUGCAAGCGUUAAUCGGAAUUACUGGGCGUAAAGCGCGCGUAGGUGGUUCGUUAAGUUGGAUGUGAAAGCCCCGGGCUCAACCUGGGAACUGCAUCCAAAACUGGCGAGCUAGAGUACGGUAGAGGGUGGUGGAAUUUCCUGUGUGGCGGUGAAAUGCGUAGAUAUAGGAAGGAACACCAGUGGCGAAGGCGACCACCUG